CAAGUUAGGCGUACAUAUCUUGCCCCUGGCAUUUCCCUGGACGUUAGCGAUGAUCCGAAAGGUAGCGACGAUACUUGGACCAGCAGCGCUGGCUUCCCUGAUCAGGAUGGCGUUGCUGGU
ncrna:unclassified sequences Flavobacterium-1 RNA